GGUCCAUCUUGCUAUGGUAUGUCCGAGAUGUUGGGCUUGGGCUGUUUCCGAUUGGACCGUUUCCCACCCACAUCUCGAGAGGGGCUAUUAAUAUCCCACAUCGUUUGGGAUAAGUGUCCUUGGGCAAUAUAUAUGUGAUUGGGGCCAUUUUUAUAGGCUACAUAGGUAGACAACUAUUUAUAUGGGAAAUCAUCUGCUGGGCUUUCACCAUGGGCUCUGAUACCAUAUUAGUGAUGGGCCUAACUCACACCCAAAAGCUAGCUCAAGAGUGGAGGAUUACCCAAUCACAUAUAUAUUGCCCAAGGACACUUAUCCCAAACGAUGUGGGAUAUUAAUAGAGAACCGACAGACCGUUUACUAGACCGUGAAAAUAAACAAGCUUCGGAGUCAACGAAGCAACUGUCAAUGAGACGCAUUAAGACUGCUCUGAAAUGAAAGCGGCCACUUCCAAGAACGGAGAACCAGACAGGGAGCCGUGAAGGAAGAAUUGGAAGAGAGGCGGAGCAACGGGUAACCAUCUAGAAGCCAUAGACGACUGUCUGUCACAGUUACCAGCAGCAACCGCACAUGCCUAGACAGAGUCAGAUACCAUCUCCUCCUGCAUAUCAUGACUCCUGGCGUGCAACCGUUGAGAAGACCCAUCGAGACUCUCUUGAUAACAAGAGGAGAGAGAUGAACCUCACCGACACCGGAGAGGACCAAAGUUACCCACCACCGCUACCGAUUGACACCACCCCUCGACAAACGACACCGCCAUAGUCUAAUAGGAGGAGCAAACCUUCAAAAUCCUUCAACGACGCAGAGAUCCGACGAGAUCUAAAACCAGAUCUAGAAAAUUGAUCUCGUCAUAAACCCUAAAAUCCGACAACUUCACCACCAGACCUUAUUACCUCCUCGCCACAACACCAGAUGAAGCAUGUACUCGCCGGAGAUACGCCCCUUGCGCACGGAGCACUCGCCGGAGAGACGAACCAACCCAGGACUGCGAGCAUAUCGGAGGAAAAGCGAGAGGAGGAGGAGCAGCAAACCACAAACGAGGAGAAGGGAGAGAAGCUCCUCCGGCGCCGGUACGCACGCUCACGCGCCGCCGGACGCCGGAGAGAUGCACUGUACUUUGCUUUUGGUCUGCGAGAGAGAAGAGAAAGGUGGAAAGUCGAGGAGAGAGAAAUUGCCGUGGAAGGAUCCGAAGGCGACAAGUAAAUGCCAUGGAGACAUGUGUCGUUUCAACAAACUAAAAAUACUGAAGGUUUGUUAACUUUGAUGACCAUAUAACCGUGAAAGACGGCCACCGUGUUGUUGAGAUGUAAACGGCAAAACCAACACUAGAGUCUUGGUUUCACAGAAGGCGAAGAAAAGUGGUUAGAAAUGUGAAAAAGUGAUAGUAAGCACUAGAGGACGUGUCGGCCAAGUAGAGGAGUGUGAACUCCACAUUUCGCCAGGAGAGCUGAUAUGAGAUGAGAUCGGCAAGUGUAAGCACUAGAGGACGUGUGUACUGGGGAAAAAAUAGGGUAUAUAGGGUAUAACUAGUUCGUUAAGAUUAUACUUGUAAUUAAAUUUGUGAAACAUAUAACAUUAUUUUUUAUUUAUA